GCCAAUGUUGUGCAGAGGGUAGAGUAAUGGAUUAGGACUUUGGAGGCCAGGGUUCAAAUCCCUGCUCAGUCA